rnacentral:rRNA from 1 species
CAGUCGCCGCGGUAAUACGGAGGGGGCUAGCGUUGUUCGGAAUUACUGGGCGUAAAGCGCACGUAGGCGGCUUGGUAAGUUAGAGGUGAAAGCCUGGAGCUCAACUCCAGAAUUGCCUUUAAGACUGCCGAGCUAGCAGGUGAGAGAGGUAAGUGGAAUUCCGAGUGUAGAGGUGAAAUUCGUAGAUAUUCGGAAGAACACCAGUGGCGAAGGCGGCUUACUGGCUCAUACUGGACGCUGAGGUGCGAAAGCGUGGGGAGCAAACGGGAUUAGAUACCCCAGUAGUCCCUGUCUCUUAUAC